GUGAACGCUGGCGGUAGGCCUAACACAUGCAAGUCGAACGGCAGCACAGUAAGCGCUUGCUCUUACGGGUGGCGAGUGGCGGACGGGUGAGGAAUACAUCGGAAUCUACUUUUUCGUGGGGGAUAACGUAGGGAAACUUACGCUAAUACCGCAUACGACCUACGGGUGAAAGCAGGGGAUCUUCGGACCUUGCGCGAUUGAAUGAGCCGAUGUCGGAUUAGCUAGUUGGCGGGGUAAAGGCCCACCAAGGCGACGAUCCGUAGCUGGUCUGAGAGGAUGAUCAGCCACACUGGAACUGAGACACGGUCCAGACUCCUACGGGAGGCAGCAGUGGGGAAUAUUGGACAAUGGGCGCAAGCCUGAUCCAGCCAUACCGCGUGAGUGAAGAAGGCCUUCGGGUUGUAAAGCCCUUUUGUUGGGAAAGAAAAGCAGCAGGUUAAUACCCCGCUGUUCUGACGGUACCCAAAGAAUAAGCACCGGCUAACUUCGUG
rnacentral:rRNA from 1 species